rnacentral:rRNA from 1 species
GACGAACGCUGGCGGCGUGCUUAACACAUGCAAGUCGAACGGUAAGGCCCUUCGGGGUACACGAGUGGCGAACGGGUGAGUAACACGUGGGUGAUCUGCCCUGCACUUCGGGAUAAGCCUGGGAAACUGGGUCUAAUACCGGAUAGGACUCCUGCCUGCAUGGGUGGGGGUGGAAAGCUUUUGCGGUGUGGGAUGGGCCCGCGGCCUAUCAGCUUGUUGGUGGGGUGAUGGCCUACCAAGGCGACGACGGGUAGCCGGCCUGAGAGGGUGACCGGCCACACUGGGACUGAGAUACGGCCCAGACUCCUACGGGAGGCAGCAGUGGGGAAUAUUACACAAUGGGCGCAAGCCUGAUGCAGCGACGCCGCGUGAGGGAUGACGGCCUUCGGGUUGUAAACCUCUUUCAGCACAGACGAAGCGCAAGUGACGGUAUGUGCAGAAGAAGGACCGGCCAACUACGUACCAGCCGCCGCAGUAA